CCUACGGGUGGCAGCAGUGGGGAAUAUUGGACAAUGGGGGGAACCCUGAUCCAGCCAUGCCGCGUGUGUGAAGAAGGCCCUCGGGUUGUAAAGCACUUUCAGUGAGGAAGAACGCCUGGUGGUUAAUACCCAUCAGGAAAGACAUCACUCACAGAAGAAGCACCGGCUAACUCCGUGCCAGCAGCCGCGGUAAUACGGAGGGUGCGAGCGUUAAUCGGAAUUACUGGGCGUAAAGCGCGCGUAGGUGGCUUGGUAAGCCGGUUGUGAAAGCCCCGGGCUCAACCUGGGAACGGCAUCCGGAACUGUCAAGCUAGAGUGCAGGAGAGGAAGGUAGAAUUCCCGGUGUAGCGGUGAAAUGCGUAGAGAUCGGGAGGAAUACCAGUGGCGAAGGCGGCCUUCUGGACUGACACUGACACUGAGGUGCGAAAGCGUGGGUAGCAAACAGGAUUAGAUACCCUUGUAGUC
rnacentral:rRNA from 1 species